UACAGAGGGUGCGAGCGUUAAUCGGAAUUACUGGGCGUAAAGCGCGCGUAGGCGGCUUUGCAAGUCGAGUGUGAAAUCCCCAGGCUUAACCUGGGAACUGCAUUCGAGACUGCAUAGCUAGAGUAUGGGAGAGGGAAGUGGAAUUUCAGGUGUAGCGGUGAAAUGCGUAGAUAUCUGAAGGAACAUCAGUGGCGAAAGCGGCUCUCUGGAACGGUACUGACGCUGAGACGCGAAAGCGUGGGGAGCGAACAGG
rnacentral:rRNA from 1 species